rnacentral:rRNA from 1 species
AUUGAACGCUGGCGGCAUGCCUUACACGUGCAAGUCGAAUGGUAACAGGUCUUCGGAUGCUGACGAGUGGCGAACGGGUGAGUAAUACAUCGGAACGUGCCUAGUAGUGGGGGAUAACUACUCGAAAGAGUGGCUAAUACCGCAUGAGAUCUACGGAUGAAAGCAGGGGAUCGCAAGACCUUGUGCUACUAGAGCGGCCGAUGGCAGAUUAGGUAGUUGGUGGGAUAAAAGCUUACCAAGCCGACGGUCUGUAGCUGGUCUGAGAGGACGAACAGGCAAACUUGGACUGAGAAACGGCCCAGAAUCCUACGGGAGGCAGCAGUGGGGAAUUUUGGACGAUGUGCGCAAGCCUGAUCCAGAAAUGCCGCGUGCAGGAUGAAGGCCUUCGGGUUGUAAACUGCUUUUGUACGGAACGAAAAGCCCCGGGUUAAUACCCUGGGGUCAUGACGGUACCGUAAGAAUAAGCACCGGCUAACUACGUGCCAGCCGCCGCCGUAA